rnacentral:rRNA from 1 species
UACAGAGGUCCCAAGCGUUGUUCGGAUUCACUGGGCGUAAAGGGUGCGUAGGUGGUUAGGUAAGUCCGAUGUGAAAUCUCCAGGCUCAACCUGGAAAUGGCAUUAGAUACUAUCUAGCUUGAGGAGUGGAGGGGGACUGGAAUUCUCGGUGUAGCAGUGAAAAUGCGUAGAUAUCGAGAGGAACACCAGUGGCGAAGGCGAGUCCCUGGACACUUCCUGACACUGAGGCACGAAAGCUAGGGGAGCAAACAGGAUAGAUACCCC